AGCAGCCGCGGUAAUUCCAGCUCCAAUAGCGUAUAUUAAAGUUGUUGCAGUUAAAAAGCUCGUAGUUGAAUUUCGGGAUCGACGGGUCGGUCGCGCCUCUGGUGUGUACUGGCCCUGUCGGUUUCUCCCUUCUGACGAACCACGAUGUCAUUAAUUUGGUGUCGUGGGAAAUCAGGACUGUUACUUUGAAAAAAUUAGAGUGUUUAAAGCAAGCAUUCGCUUGAAUACAUUAGCAUGGAAUAAUGAAAUAGGACGUUUGAUCUUAUUUUGUUGGUUUCUAAGAUCGACGUAAUGAUUAAUAGGGAUAGUUGGGGGCAUUAGUAUUCAAUUGUCAGAGGUGAAAUUCUUGGAUUUAUUGAAGACUAACUACUGCGAAAGCAUUUGCCAAGGAUGUUUUCAUUAAUCAAGAACGAAAGUUAGGGGAUCGAAGACGAUCAGAUACCGUCGUAGUCUUAACCAUAAACUAUGCCGACUAGGGAUCGGAUGAUGUUAAUUUUUAAUGACUCAUUCGGCGCCUUAC
rnacentral:rRNA from 1 species